rnacentral:miRNA from 1 species
GGUGUUUCCGCCCGGUUUCGA